GCAGGGUCUAUCGUCCAAUAAAAACGCUCGGCGCUAGUUUUGACCGUGUGUUUUUUCCUCACGCGAGCGUUUGUAUCACAUCGGCGUAUGGCGCCAAUUUGUAAAGGUCAUAAGUCGAGACAUACAUCGAGUCUGUCAAUUUGUCCGCCAGUAAAUUCUGCAGGGCCGUGCCACCUGGCCAUCGAGGCGCCCCCCUACCCGGCCACGCGGGCCAUACAUCGAGUCUGACACUUUUGCCCUCCAGUAAAUUCUGUUUAAAGUUUUGUUUUCACAUACGUCCCAAAUUACAGAUAAUUUUCUUACACAGGCACGAGUAGCAUCAUCAAGGCCGUACCACCUGGUCAUACAUCAAGUCUGACAAUUUCCCCGCCAGUAAAUUCUGUUUAUAGUUUUGUUUGUCAUACAUGACCGUGCAGAUAUGGGGUGACAGAGACAAUUAAAUUGUAUUGCGGCGAGCGGGGGGGGGGGCCUAUUCCUCCUAGGGCAGAGGCACAAGUAUCUUCGAGGUCUUACCCUUCCUGCCAGCCAAAGAGGUUCAUCCAGGCCUUACCCGAGAGAGAGACUGCGCUGACCGGUCAAGAGAAAAUCUACAAGAGACCUGAAUCAGCAGUGUUAUAAAGCACAUAGCCAACGCUAAUUAAUAAAGAAUUUAAGCAUAAUAGCCCAGACGUACCAUGGCCUAUAGCUGGUAGAAACGGAGCUAUCCUACGGCCUACAAGAUAAAAGCAUAUGGCACCAAAUUGGAAUCAGUAGUCUUUAAAAGAAUAAAUGGACUAGCAACUGUCUCUGGGGGAGCAGCCCCGGUUAGGUACUAUUAAGCAGCAUUUAGUGACAUGCAUCAAAACACAUUUUUUAAAACUUUGACAGAAUAAAGUCUUAGUUAUUUUAAUAAA